UACGGAGGGUGCAAGCGUUAAUCGGAAUUACUGGGCGUAAAGCGCACGUAGGCGGCUUGUUAAGUCGGAUGUGAAAGCCCCGGGCUCAACCUGGGAAUGGCAUCCGAUACUGGCAAGCUAGAGUACAAGAGAGGGUGGUAGAAUUUCUAGUGUAGCGGUGAAAUGCGUAGAUAUUAGAAGGAAUACCGGUGGCGAAGGCAGCCAUCUGGCCUAAUACUGACGCUGAGGUACGAAAGCAUGGGGAGCAAACAGG
rnacentral:rRNA from 1 species